GGUGAAUUCUGCUGAGUAACUGGA
rnacentral:siRNA from 1 species